rnacentral:rRNA from 1 species
GAUGAACGCUGGCGGCGUGCUUAACACAUGCAAGUCGAACGAAGCACUUUAUUUGAUUUCCUUCGGGACUGAUUAUUUUGUGACAGAGUGGCGGACGGGUGAGUAACGCGUGGGUAACCUGCCUUGUACAGGGGGAUAACAGUUGGAAACGGCUGCUAAUACCGCAUAAGCGCACAGCAUCGCAUGAUGCAGUGUGAAAAACUCCGGUGGUAUAAGAUGGACCCGCGUUGGAUUAGCUAGUUGGUGAGGUAACGGCCCACCAAGGCGACGAUCCAUAGCCGACCUGAGAGGGUGACCGGCCACAUUGGGACUGAGACACGGCCCAAACUCCUACGGGAGGCAGCAGUGGGGAAUAUUGCACAAUGGGCGAAAGCCUGAUGCAGCGACGCCGCGUGAGCGAAGAAGUAUUUCGGUAUGUAAAGCUCUAUCAGCAGGGAAGAUAAUGACGGUACCUGACUAAGAAGCACCGGCUAAAUACGUG